GACGAAGGACCCAAGCGUUAUCCGGAUUCAUUGGGUUUAAAGGGUGCGUAGGCGGGUUGAUAAGUCAGUGGUGAAAGCCUGCAGCUUAACUGCAGAACUGCCAUUGAUACUGUCGAUCUUGAAUGUGUUUGAUGUGGGCGGAAUAUGACAUGUAGCGGUGAAAUGCUUAGAUAUGUCAUAGAACACCGAUUGCGAAGGCAGCUCACAAAGCCACUAUUGACGCUGAGGCACGAAAGCGUGGGGAUCAAACAGGAUUAGAAACCCCCGUAGUCC
rnacentral:rRNA from 1 species